rnacentral:lncRNA from 1 species
UUUUGCUUCAGAUUCUUCUUCACAGUGAGACUGUAGGAGCGUGAAAAGGCAUGCUCUGCCUCUUGCUGCCUCAGUGGCUUAUGCAGACCCUCUUGCUGUCCAGGCACGGUUCUUAGAAUCAUAGGAGCAUUGAAUAUGCUGUGUUGUAAGAGACCCAAAAAGAUUGUAGAGUCCAACUCCUGGAACUGCCUCGAGCAGCCAGAAGUGCUAUAGCAGGACUUUUGCCCUGCCAUACAGUUGGGCAGCAGGAGCAGAUGCCAGAGUAGCUCGUUCCUUAAUUCAGCUCUUUUCUCUCUGAUGCUCGAGUCUUGUACUGUGCCUGAACAGAGAGCAAUCAGUAGCAAAGGAACAGCAGAGCUGUUGCAGUGUUGUAUUUUCCCCCUCCACUUUUUAGAUUGAAUCUGAUGAAUUGUCCAGAGAAAGCAGAAGUGGAAUAUCACAGAGAAAAUGUUUCACCAGCACAAUCAGUGGAUGUAUUACUCAUAGACAGCCUUGCAUGCAGAAUCACAAAAUUGUAGAGAUUGAAAGGGACCUCUUGAGAUCUUCUUGUCCAAACUUACUUCUCAGGCAUGGGGAGGUAGACCAGGUUGCACAGGACUGUGUUCAGUGUCAGUCAGGUUUUGAAUAUUUCAAGGGUUAGAGAUUCACAACUUCACAGGUCACCCUGGUUGAGUGCAUGGUCAUCCUCACAGUGAACUGCUUCCUAAUCAGAUGGAACCUCCAGAGUUCCACUUUGUGCACGUUGCCUCUUGUUCUGUCACUGAGCACCACUGAGGAAUGAGAACACAGAUUGGGCCUCCAUGAUUACAACCACCAGAUUCUUGAAGCUGUUUGGUCUCAGAGAAAAUCCAGUCGAUCUCCUUUUCAUGCUCUUGGAUGCUGUGCAGUCUGGACAUUUUCACUGCCACUCUUUCACUUCGGUUCACAAAUCAGUGAAAAAUUCACACCUCCUGCAGACUAGAAAACCAUAUGUCCUAGGCUCAAAAAGAGAACCCAGACAUCCUCUGCAGCUUGAGACUUGCGGUGCUGCAUCCUUCUAUGGCUUCACCUUGGUCCAAGAAUCCAAUAAUGAAUGGACAGAUUCUUUAAUGGUUCCUGGGGACGAUGCUGUGUGGCAUAUCACCACUACAGCUAAUGAGAGGACAGAAAGUUUUCAGCAUUGUUGUGCACAAUCCUGCAUCUGUUGGCUGCACAAUAGAAACUGUGCUCUGUGUCUUGCUCUUAUAUAAAUCUCUCCUAAGCAUUGGCUUGGACAAUCCUAAACAGAUCCUUGGUUCUCACUGUUUAGGAGAUAGUCACUCUGUGAAUUAGUUGUUUUUAUGUAGAAAUAUUCUAAAUAGUUCUGAGAUUUAAUUUCUGCAGAGUAGAGUAUAAUACAGUCAUUUGGUCACUAGUGCCCUGCUUGCUUUCUUUUUAUUUCUGGAUUUCUGUCUGCAGAUAUUCCCUACCAA